rnacentral:lncRNA from 10 species
UCUGUCUCCAGAACAAAGCUGAGAUUUGUGGGGGUAUGGUGUGGCCAGUGGCCUACAUGGCAUGUCAUAGCAAUGGAGUGACAGAGAAGGAUACUUGUGAAGAGAGAGUUAACCAGAAUGAUGUCUCCCCAAGAACAUUCUCAGGAAGAUCACUUUCAGAAGAGAAUAGACAUGGUACUUGAGGAUCUGAGAACUAAUUCUUUUAAACUAUCCAUACCUGCUUACUUAAGAGAACUUUACAUGUAUUUAACCUCUAGACUUUCAUGUACUUACCCCAGUUUGCAUACUGCUGUUCUAAAACAUCAAAUCUUCCUGGAAAUGUGGGAACCAAGAGGUAGAGAGACAUAAAUACCAGACUCCCUUUCUUCUUUACUUAUCUCCCAAAACCAGAGACAAAAAGCUUUAGCUAUUUUUUUCUUCUGUAUCACAUCCUUUUCCCACCCUAUAGAACACCAGUAAAAGUGGUUAGGUGGCCUCUUUGUGAUUUUGAUGUUCAGUAACCUAAAUUUCUCUAGAUUAUAGAAUCCAGAAUACUCAGAUAUGGCCAUGAGUGAUGACAAUUGUCCUUUAUUAUUGUUCGUUUUAAAAUUUAUAUUAGAGGCCAGGUGCAGUAGCUCAUGCCUAUAAGCCCAGUACUUUGGGAGGCCGAGGCAGAAGGUUCACUUGAGCCCAGGAGUUCGAGACCAGCGUGGGCAACAUGGCCAGACCCCAACUCCAUUAAAAAAUAUAUAAAUUAGCCAGGUUUGGUGGUACUACUUGGGAGGCUGAGAUGGGAGGAUUGCUUGAGCCUGGGAGGUUGAGGCUGGAGUGCAAUGGCACAAUCUCAGCUCACUGCAACCUCUGCCUCCCGGGUUCAAGCAAUUCUCCUGCCUCAGCCUCCCGAGUAGCUGGGAUUACAGGCACGUGCUACCACACCUGGCUACUUUUUGUAUUUUUAGUAGAGAUGGGGUUUCACCAUGUUGGUCAGGCUGGUCUUGAACUCCUGACCUCAGGUGAUCCAUCUGCCUCGGCUUCCCAAAGUGCUGGGAUUACAGGCAUGAGCCACCGCACCCAGCCAAAAGACAUCAUUUUUAAGAAUUCAAGUUAAGGAAAAGAAAGACUUCAAUAAUUUUCUAAUCACCUGUAUCUUUGUUGUGAGCAAUUUUGGCAUAUGUGCCUGCUAACGUCAUACUAAAAAUUAUGAUUAAUUUUAGAAACAUUUUAAAGGAAGUAAUUAAGUCCUAGAGACUAGGUAUUAUGGCAGUGUUAUAACCUUACGCUAAGUUUUUUAUUUUUUUUUUAAUGUUGGCUACCACUUAUUUGUGUGUGUGUGUAUGUUUUCUUUUUUUAUUAUUGUUAUACUUUAAGUCCUGGGGUACAUGUGCACAACGUGCAGGUUUGUUACAUAUGUAUAUAUGUGCCAUGUUGAUGUGCUGCACCCAUUAACUCGUCAUUUACAUUAGGUAUAUCUCUUAAUGCUAUCCCUC